CUCCAGACUCCUACGGGAGGCAGCAGUGGGGAAUAUUGGGCAAUGGGGGAAACCCUGACCCAGCGACGCCGCGUGAGGGAAGAAGGUUUUCGGAUUGUAAACCUCUGUCCUUGGUGACGAUAAUGACGGUAGCCAAGGAGGAAGCCACGGCUAACUACGUGCCAGCAGCCGCGGUAAUACGUAGGUGGCGAGCGUUGUCCGGAAUUACUGGGCGUAAAGGGAGCGUAGGCGGACUUUUAAGUGAGAUGUGAAAUACUCGGGCUCAACUUGAGUGCUGCAUUUCAAACUGGAAGUCUAGAGUGCAGGAGAGGAGAAUGGAAUUCCUAGUGUAGCGGUGAAAUGCGUAGAGAUUAGGAAGAACACCAGUGGCGAAGGCGAUUCUCUGGACUGUAACUGACGCUGAGGCUCGAAAGCGUGGGGAGCAAACAGGAUUAGAUACCCCCGUA
rnacentral:rRNA from 1 species